GUUAAGUAUCUUGGCUAUUCUUAACUGUUAUGUCAGUGGAAGCGACCGUUUUUUGUUUGGUUUUUCUCAGUACAGCUCAUUGUUAUUGGUAUUUAGCAUUUGAAGAAUGUUAAGUAAGUGGAAGCUAAUACUAAUUAAUUACUAUUUAAUCAGUUAAUAUUUGAAAGGAAUAGCUAUACAUGCAAGAAAUCCAGAGCUAAAUCUGCAAAGAAUACAGUGCUUCACCUAACUUGAAGGCAUCCUGCUAGCUAGUAAGAAUUUUUGCUCAAAGUUUAGGCAUUUUGCAUUGCUUGAUGAAUGCAGAAGAGGAGCUGAGUCAGCUCAGAGUAAUAUAAUUUAAGUAAAUUAGUGCAAUCAGCAUUCAAACAUGGGGUCAUAUACAUAGGAAGAUAGAAUAUUAACCCAGAGACCAGUCAAAAAUCAACUCUCUUCAUACAUACCACAAAGAAUACUGUCUCAGUAUGUAGGACAAAAUGAUAGUAAGUACUUCUGUCUCUUCUGAAAUUUUCUGCUAAGUUCAGAAAAAAACGUGGAAGAUACCAUUGUCUGAUGACAAAAACAUUAAGGAAGAUGAUAAAAGGAAAAAGAACAACAGCAAAAUCCUUUACUUCAUAUGCUUUCUUAGGGGAGCACAGAUGUGCAAACUGGCAGAGAGGUCAGAUUGUUUUGACUAUUUCUGCAGUGAGUUGAGCUGUAAUGGCCUGGCAGAGUGAGGAAUCACUGCUAAAGCAGACGCAUAUCACAUAGAGAGGUACCAUUCUGCUGCUAUUUCAUGAGAGCAAAUAGUUGAAUGUUUGUGUGAACGUGGGGCUGGAGAGGCUCCCUGUUUACGACCAGCUACGGAUGUCUGUGGAACGUUGCUCUGGAGGAAUUCACAAUGAGAUUUCCAGCAGGAAACACAAAUGCUAAGCAGAUGUGUUUUCUUCCAGACUAAACCUUUUGACUCAGAUUGGCAGAAAAUCUUCACUUUAUCCACUUUAAGAUUUUUAAGACAAAAAUCACAAAACAAUGACUUCUCAGCCCUUUUAACAAAGACUGGAAGCUACUGAGAAGUUAUGUAGAUCUACGUAUCCCUGAGAGCACACAGACUGCUCAUUGAAUCUGCUCAAUCAUCUCAUUCUGCAUUUAACUUAAAAAAUGCAAAGCAAGGCAAAGAAAGAAACCCAGCCCCCAAAAGCAAGUAGCACUCCUGCUCAGAGGAUGUUCAAGGGAGUUGUUCCAACUUGAUCUUUCUCUCACAUACCCUUUAAGGGAGGAAAUACUUUUGGAGGAAGCAAACUGGAAAAGAUCACAAAGAUCCUGCCACAUAGAUUUCCUGGUGUUAUUCUGUAGAGGAAGAGGCAAAAGUUCUUUCCUCAAAUUCCUUUUCCCAUGUAAACAGUGGGAAGAAUAUUAUCUUUUGUUAAUUUUUUAUUUUGCUUAUUUGCUGUAAACUGCAAAACAUGCUAUAUAAAAAUGCCAUUUAUUAAUCAUGACUGUGUUGUGUUCUAUAACAAAAAUGAUCCCUUGGGACCAUAUUUGUUAUAUAUGCUGAAAUGUACUGUUAGCUAAGUGGCCUUAUCUAUAAUUCAGAAAAUCUUUGUGUGCUUUGGAAGACCGUUUGGCAAACUGUGCAAGGAAGUCAUUUAGUUAUCUGGCUGCAUUAAAGAUGAAAUCAAUUUAAGAUGAAUUAAUACUUCUAGAAAAGUGAUACGAAAAAAAACAACCUAAACUCUUGGCUUUGAAAGAAGUAAUUAGCCAGUACUACAAGAGCCUUGGGUGACUGAAAGGCCAGAAAAGAUGCUGCGGGAAGACUUCCAAGCAUCAAUAAAUAUUGAAGUUCUUUCCAACUCAAUGUUUUGAAAUGUCUUAGAAGUUUUAACCAAAAGGCCUUGCUAUGAUCAACUCUAGUAGGGGAAUAAGAGUAAUAUUUCCACAAGAAAUAUUUUAUUUUCAAUGGUACUUUCUCCAAAAACCACCAAUGGAGAAGUGGUGGGAUUUGAUGACAACAUAGACUUUAAAAAUGUAAUAAACUUAUCUAAUGUAAAAGAUGAUUACAGCUUUCAAAGAUAUGUCCACCAACAAGAACUGCUGCAGCCAGAUGUUUUGGUCAAAUUCGAGUACGUCACUGAGAUACUGAGCAAGCUCAAAACAGAACAGCUGAUUGCUUUGAAGAGCCAACACUUGAAAUUACUUAAAGCACUCUUCUACCAAAGAGACAGAAGACAGCUUUCAUAUUCUCGAGUCAUCCUACAAAGUCCUGCGUGAAAUAGACUACUGCAGCCUACAGGCAUCAUAGAAAUAUUUCAGUCAAGACCACAAGUUCCACUCUUGCCCCUAUGCUUAUGCUAAUGUGCACGAUCUCUUUGAUGAACAGCAGCAAGGAGACUGGAUAGCUUGAGGUGUAAUUGAUGGGAUGCUGAAGGUCUGGCUGUUGUUUUGGUGGUUAUUUUUAUAGAUUAUAAAGGAACUGACCAUGCAGUGCUACCUCAACUUGUGGCUGAAUCUAACAGCUUCAUGGACUCAGCCCUCCAUUUAGCCCAUUUGGUCAAAUUAGGCUGGUGGUAACUGAAAGCUGUGACCAGCUGAUGGCUAUGUUGAAUGAUAGCUUGUGGAAAUCUCCUUAGUGGACUCAGACCAAAUUUUACUGACAGAAUCUCACUAUCUCCAAGCAAAUUCCUCCAAAAUAAAUGCUAACUCGAGGCUCAGGGGCAACCACAGGUUUAAAGACAAGGAGGGUGAACUUGUGUCUUCUCUAGAAGUAUUGUCUGUAAGCCAGCAAUGAAGUGAAAAAAAGGCACAUUUGUGUCAGCACCACCCAGGCUGUCAAUAAAGAACUCCUGCCCUCAGAACUAUCAAAUCAAAUUCAUAUGAAUUUCCCACUCUUCCAAAACCACUUUCCCACAGGGAAGAAGGGAUCACAAAAUUAAACAGCAUUCCCUUCUUCUCACAUCUUUGUAAUCUGCAAGCACUGUGCCUGUCACAGUGCUCCCAGGAGGUUUCCUUAACCAUAAUGUCUCAUCUCUGCAAACAGCUGUUUCCCUUUUGCACAAGAGUUCUUGGAGAUAUGCUUCACUUAUCAGAACUAUACCACUGAAAAGCUGGUAAAUAACCAAGUUCUGUUGGAAAGAUGAAAUCGCACUGCAGAUAGAUGGAUUUGCUUAACCUAUAAAAUAAUUCUGAGAUAGCUAUUGUUUUGGCAAAAUUCUAAAAUGUAACAAAGUUUGAUUGUUCUUGGCUUCUCCUAAUUUGCUUACUUUGGGGUAAUAGCUGGCCUUCAAUAUGCAUGUUAGUCUCGUUACUGUUAAGUUAAAUAUAUACACACAUAUCUAAGAGAGGUUUGACCAUUUACUGUCAGUGUUCCAAGGUUAGCUGAAGUCUGGACCUAUUACUUUCUCUGUGCUCCACUAAUUGAGACCAAGGCUUAUGCAAGACUUCCUUGGGGAUCACAGGGUCUGAGGUUUUUAUAGUCCACAAGGCUAAAAUUCAAAUAUGAACCACAGCUGUUUGGAUGGAAGUCCUGGACCUCAUCCUUUUGAACUAUAGUGACCUGCUCAGCCUUGCCAUCAUGUGAAACUCAGAAAUCCCUGCACAGAUGAUGACUGGGAUGUGAAAAUUGCCUGCCAAGCAGACCUGGGUAAAGUGAUUGGUUUACAGUGCUCUGGGAUUUGCAGGUGGAAGGACUGCUCUCUCACUCUCCUCUGCUACCCUCUUCCCUUCCAUUUCUGUACAUAUCAUUCUUUUAUAUAUAUAUAUAUAUAUAUAUGCAGAUUUGAUUCCACAUUCACCACCCAAACAGCUGAAUUGAUGUUCCUAUUGAAGAUGGUGAAGUUCCUCCCUUCUGCCAAGUACAGUUAUUUUUAUGAGUCCCCAGUAAGAGGUAAAGUAAGAGAAACAGGGUGUGGGAUAAACUAGUUAAUCUAUUUAAAUAGGGAUAGACCUCUAGCGCCCUAACACUUAAAUACUUUGUCUUCACUCGGCUGUGCUAUAUUUUAACUGGGGACUACAACCAGGACAAACAAGCGUGGCCUUUUCCUACUGUGGAUUGUCAUGCGAAAAUACUUGUGAAGGGGUGGAGUAAACAUUUUUGGGGAUCACACUGCAAGAGGAGAUAUAUGGGAACUCACUGUGAUGCAAAAGGAAAUCAUGUGUUACUCCACAGAUGAUGUGAUUGGCAUUGUGAGCUCAGAUGCGUAAAGACUAUCGAGGCAAAAAAAUCAAGAUUGAAGCAGAAUGAAAUACUCCUUUCUUCGGUAAGUCAGUGGGAGUCAUAAAUACUUCUGCAUCAGCUAGGAAAGCUACAAAAAACUAAAUCACAACUCUAUUUUCAUGCUGAUGCAUGCACUUUAAAGUAAUAUAUAUAAAAAUGCCUUCCUUUUGGCAUAACUGCAAUUACAUAAAUAUUUAGAUUUAUACUAAUAAGUAAUUUUGCAGAAGUUUAAAAUGAUAGGCUGCGUGAUAGCUAUUUAAGGGGAUGGGCAGCCCACCUUCCAGUGGCCACAGUGACUUCCAUCAAGUCGUAAUUGCAGGAGAGGGUGCUUCUGGAAAUUAAUGGUGAAUCUUAUAUUCCCUUGCAUUUAGAAUCCAAAUCUAUUAUUUCAUUACUACUGUUAAUUAUAUAACAAUCAUAUAAUAAUUAUAAAAAUAAUUAUAUAAUAACUAUGUCUGAAUAAAUAAUAAGCAUUUUCAAUAUUAAUGACUGCCUAGCAAGCAAGGCAAAGCAGAUCUUAAUCUGGUUUGAGUUUCUAUCCUUACACAUUCAUUUUACUCUUGCAAAGCAUAUUAAAUACUAUGGAAUGUAUAAAAAAGGCCACAAUUUCUUCUCUAUUGGUAUACUGAAAGUCUUUGUGUGUCCAAGGUAAUAGGAAUUCCCACAUUCGUGCUUACUGUAAAAUACAGCAAGCAAAAGCUAGAUAAAUUCUGUUUAAUAUGGAAAUAAUUUUGGCUGCAUCUUUGGCUUUGUAUGACAUGGAAACUGGUGAUUGUUUAUGCUUUCCUACUUUUUUUGGUCUGCAUUAAAAUCCCACAUGAGAAACAAAUUUUUCUCUAGGAACAAAAUGUUACUUUUUUGGGACUGAGUUCUAAUAAGCUGGGUAGUACGUCUGCUUCUUUUCAGCUGGGAAAUUGCAAUGCAUAUAAAAUCCAGAUGGAUAACACAUGAGGCUGGAAGCAGCCUUGGCCAAUCAGCCACGUCACUUGAUUAAAAGAAACCUAUAAUAAUUUAAGUAAAAAUAGUACCCUAACAAAGUAACAGAGCAACAAACUGGCUGCAGCAUGCGAUUUCAUCACAGUUCCAAUAUUGCUUUACUUUUGCUGGUUGGUCCUUUCAUAUCUUAUUGUAAAUUAACCUAUUUGCAUUAAGCGUGCAUGGAACUUGUGAUUAAAGCCCCAAAAUGUCAGUGAUGGAAGAUACAUGAUAAGCAGGAUGAGGGGGGAAAUCCAUCACCAGACUACAGAAGGCCACAAGAACCUAUUGCUCUUAGGGCAGUGGUGCACUUGAAGAACUCAGCUGAGAGUUUUGCCAUGAGGAAUCACCUACCCUGGCACGUGCCACACUAGUGCAGACCAGUACUUUUUGUAUGGAUUUUGUCUGUGACUGUCAGAAAGCAAGUAAGUGCAUCAAUGCAAUUACAAGGUCACUCUGCGGAAAAACUCCUGAGUAUCCCGCGAGAUGCAGCAGAUUUGUGGGUGAGACUGUCUAAGGCAGCCUGUGAAGAAGUCACAGACAGGACUUGCAGAGGGAUGGAGCCACAUCUGGAAUCCCUGUGGGCAAUUGAAGGAAUGUUUAUUAUUCUUUGUUUAUUAUUUUGAGUGUGUACUCUCCCUCUUCCUUUCUUUGUCUCUCUUUGUUAUUUGUGUAAUAAAAUUCCUCUAGGCAUACAAAGUAAGUAAGUCAUCUGGAAUUGUGCAGUUCCCUCUGCCAGGAAGCUGGAAAAGCCUCUCGUGCAGAGACAAAAGUAUGGGCUCAUCUCAAACACUGAGAAAUUACAGAAAUAUUCACCAUUUGCCUUUGAGUUAUAUUUACAUAGGAAAGAACUGUGGCAAAUACGUGUGCUUCUUGCUGUUAAAAAAAAUUGGCUUUUAUCCUGCCCAAGGUGUUGUGUUUAUUUAAAAGUUGUUGAGAAAUAAUUUGUACAUUCUAAAAUAAAGCAUGCAAAAUACAUUAAAAGGGCCCAGUGACAAAGUUGUUUUUUUUUUUUUUGCCAGUGGGUGUGGAGAAGGAAAAGGAAAUGAGUAAGUAGAGAGGAGCGUCUUUAUGGCCACAUGGCUAGUGAAAAUUUCUAUUUAUUCUUUGGGGAAAAAGCAAAGUAGCUGCAUAGUUGCUGGUUGGAUAGGUGCCGGGACUAUUUUUAUUGGCAGGCAGCUCUGAGUGGCUGAAAGGCGGUCAUUAACACUCUGACACAAAGUGCUGACAGGGCGAUUAUAAGAUUAACACCCUAUGUUAUAUUAACAGUGUCAAAACCUCCCCGUACCUGUCAGUGAGAAAUAAUGGCACGAAGGAAAACAUUAUAGACAUGCUGAGACUUUAGCAUUGAAAUACCAUGCAGCUAUUCACUUUUUGAAAUUGAUCUAAAUAUCUAGAUGACCUACUGAAGGCUCAUAAAAUAAUGUGAUUUAAAUGGCAGCUUCACCAAAUCAAAAAAUGAAUGCAAAAGUUAAGCCGCCCAGCUUACUUACUCUCUUGUUGACACUUUUAGCCCUGAUCUCCCUGGCAGUGGGUCUCUCACAACUGCUGCCUUUCAGUAGAGUUAUGGUUUGAGAUCUCAUAAAUUUAGGAUUUGACCUUAGGACUUUUGACAAAAACAGAGCUUUUCUGGAGAAUAUUAUUACUGGUCAAAAUUCAACCUCGGUCUUUCUCCAGGACUGCUAGUCAUCAUAGACUGGUUUUAUCAGUGAGAGCCUUUGGACCAUAAGGACCAAUCUGCAUUUAAAAUGUCUCUGCUCCACGUUCAUUAGAACUGGAAUAGCAAACCCUCUGGCAUAGCUGUCCUGGAGAAUAUCCAAAGAAUGGCAACGAAACCAGUGAAGUUUCUGGAUCACAAGUCUUAUGGAGAGCAACUGAGGGAAAUGAGAUUGGUCAUUCUGGAGAAGGUGAGGUUCGGGGAAGACCUUAUCACACUCUACAGCUGCCUAAAAGGAGGUUGUGGUGAGAUGAGGGCUCUUCUCCCAGGUUUCAGUGAUAGGAUGAGAGAUGAUGACCUUAAAUUGCACCAGGGGAGGUUCAAGUUGGAUAUUAGGGAAAAUUUCUUCUCAGGAGUGGUGAUGCACUGGCACAGGCUGCUCAGGGAGGCGGUAGAGUCACUGUCCCUGGAGGUGUUCAAGAAAAGGGUGGGUGUGACACUGAGGGACAUAAUCUAGAGCAGUCGUGGCCGUGGCUUGAUGGUUGGACUAGAUGAUCGUAGUGGUCUUUUCAACCUUGAUGAUUCUAUGAUAGCUUCAGCUAGACUGCCUUAUGCUGCCUUAAGUUCUGCCAGUUUUGAUUAAGAGGAUAAGCCAGGACAAAAAAAGUUCUUCCUGUAAGACUAAAUCUGUACCUUCACUAGUAAAAAAUAUUGUUCAAGUGUUGCCAGGCAAAGCAUUAUUUCUGUAUUUUUAUUAUUAUAUUUUAUGUUGUAUAUGAUGAUAAUACAGUCUAUAUAUUUUUGUCUGUAAGACUGAUAAAUAAAAUGCAAAUUAAAUAUUCUUCUAAUACUUUGGUUUCUAACCAAAUAAAGACAUGGUCAAAUCACCCCACGUGCCAGGAAAUGCUUCUGAGUUGCAUAAGAAAGGUUUGAUAGUUUUAAGUAAGUGGGAUCUGG
rnacentral:lncRNA from 1 species